rnacentral:rRNA from 1 species
GUGGGGAAUUUUGGACAAUGGGGGCAACCCUGAUCCAGCCAUGCCGCGUGCGGGAAGAAGGCCUUCGGGUUGUAAACCGCUUUUGUCAGGGAAGAAAUCCUUUGGGUUAAUACCUCGGAGGGAUGACGGUACCUGAAGAAUAAGCACCGGCUAACUACGUGCCAGCAGCCGCGGUAAGACGUAGGGUGCAAGCGUUAAUCGGAAUUACUGGGCGUAAAGCGUGCGCAGGCGGUUUUGUAAGACAGGUGUGAAAUCCCCGGGCUCAACCUGGGGACUGCACUUGCGACUGCAAGGCUAGAGUGUGUCAGAGGGAGGUGGAAUUCCGCGUGUAGCAGUGAAAUGCGUAGAGAUGCGGAGGAACACCGAUGGCGAAGGCAGCCUCCUGGGAUAACACUGACGCUCAGGCACGAAAGCGUGGGGAGCAAACAGGAUUAGAAACCCCGGUAGUCC